rnacentral:lncRNA from 1 species
GCCUUCUAAGACCCUUGUAUCGGUAUUUGAGAGGGGGAGAGAAUACUAGGUUAGGGUUAGUUGGCUUGGGAUGGGGUCUGGGUUUCAGGCUAUUUUGAUUUGCUUUUUGGCGAAGUCCGGUUGUAUUCGGAGGCUGAUGGUUGUGGAUUAGUGGAAAGGAAAGUGAGAAGGUCACCUGGUACCAUUUUUGAUGGAUUUCGGUGAGGUUGGGGGUUUGGGUCAGAGGUCCUAUCUAAUAUUCGAAGAGAUGGUUAGGGAUUGGAGGAAUACAAAUGUGGAUUCGUUAUGGGGACAGGGAGAGGUUUAUGUGGUGUUAUUUUGGGAGGGUUGCGGUGACACUGCCGCAGUGGGCGGCAGAGGCGGUGCCCAAAGAUUCGAAUAUUCAAAGCGAUCGGCUUAUAUUUAAGGUUUGAUUUUUAGGGCAUAAAAAAAGAGAAGGGUACAGGGAGUCAGGGGUGUAUUUUUUGCCAGGAUCUGAGCUUUGCUGCCGGAGAAGAUGAUUUCCGGCCGGCGGCUAUAUGGUGGUUUGUGGUGGUUGAUAGGCGGUAUUAUAUCGACAAAGGUUU